rnacentral:rRNA from 1 species
UACGUAGGAGGCAAGCGUUGUCCGGAUUUAUUGGGCGUAAAGAGCGUGUAGGCGGCCUGAAAGGUCAGCUGUGAAAACUCGAGGCUCAACCUCGAGACGUCGGUUGAAACCAUCUGGCUAGAGUCCGGAAGAGGAGUGUGGAAUUCCCGGUGUAGCGGUGAAAUGCGCAGAUAUCGGGAAGAACACCCGUGGCGAAGGCGGCACUCUGGGACGGUACUGACGCUGAGACGCGAAAAGCGUGGGGAGCGAACAGG